rnacentral:rRNA from 1 species
UACAGAGGAGCCAAGCGUUGUCCGGAUUGACUGGGCGUAAAGCGCACGCAGGCGGUUGCGCGCGUGGGGGGUGAAAUCUGGCCGCUUAACGGUCAGGCGCCAUCCCAUACGGCGCGACUGGAGGCUUGCAGAGGUCGGUGGAAUUGCCGGUGUAGUGGUGAAAUGCGUAGAGAUGUGGAGGAACACCGAUGGCGAAGGCAGCCCCCUGGGCUAACACUGACGCUCAUGCACGAAAGCGUGGGGAGCAAACAGG